rnacentral:rRNA from 1 species
AGGGAAUAUUGGUAAUGGGCGAAAGCCCGAACCAGCAACGCCGCGUGCGCGAUGAAGGCCUUCGGGUUGUAAAGCGCUUUUUAAGGGGAUGAGGAAGGACAGUACUCUUAGAAUAAGCCUCGGCUAACUACGUGCCAGCAGCCGCGGUAAAGCGUAGGAGGCGAGCGUUAUCCGGAUUUACUGGGCGUAAAGCGUGUGUAGGCGGUUUGAUAAGUUGGAUGUGAAAGCUCCCGGCUCAACUGGGAGAGGUCGUUCAAAACUAUCAGGCUUGAAAGUGGUAGAGGGAGGUGGAAUUCCGCGUGUAGUGGUGAAAUGCGUAGAUAUGCGGAGGAACACCAGUGGCGAAAGCGGCCUCCUGGCCCAUUUCUGACGCUCAGACACGAAAGCUAAGGUAGCAAACGG